GACGGAGGAUGCAAGUGUUAUCCGGAAUCACUGGGCGUAAAGCGUCUGUAGGUGGUUAAUAAGUCAACUGUUAAAUCUUGAGGCUCAACCUCAAAAUCGCAGUCGAAACUAUUAGGCUAGAGUAUAGUAGGGGUAAAGGGAAUUCCAGUGGAGCGGUGAAAUGCGUAGAGAUUGGAAAGACACCGAUGGCGAAGGCACUUUACUGGGCUAUUACUAACACUCAGAGACGAAAGCUAGGGUAGCAAUGGG
rnacentral:rRNA from 1 species